GGACGAACGCUGGCGGCGUGCUUAACACAUGCAAGUCGAACGGUGAAGSRMCYUSCUUUUGKKGGKYSUGGAUGAGUGGCGAACGGGUGAGUAACACGUGAGUAACCUGCCCCCUUCUUCUGGAUAACCGCAUGAAAGUGUGGCUAAUACGGGAUAUUCUGUGCCUGCUGCAUGGUGGGUGUGGGAAAGAUGCGCCUUUGGGUGUUUUUGGUGGGGGAUGGGCUCGCGGCCUAUCAGCUUGUUGGUGGGGUGAUGGCCUACCAAGGCGGUGACGGGUAGCCGGCCUGAGAGGGUGGACGGUCACACUGGGACUGAGACACGGCCCAGACUCCUACGGGAGGCAGCAGUGGGGAAUAUUGCACAAUGGGCGCAAGCCUGAUGCAGCGACGCCGCGUGAGGGAUGGAGGCCUUCGGGUUGUAAACCUCUUUCGCCAGUGAAGCAGGCCUGUCCCUUGUGGGUGGGUUGACGGUAGCUGGAUAAGAAGCGCCGGCUAACUAC
rnacentral:rRNA from 1 species